rnacentral:rRNA from 1 species
UUAAAUUGAAGAGUUUGAUCAUGGCUCAGAUUGAACGCUGGCGGCAGGCCUAACACAUGCAAGUCGAACGGUAACAGGAAGCAGCUUGCUGCUUCGCUGACGAGUGGCGGACGGGUGAGUAAUGUCUGGGAAACUGCCUGAUGGAGGGGGAUAACUACUGGAAACGGUAGCUAAUACCGCAUAACGUCGCAAGACCAAAGAGGGGGACCUUCGGGCCUCUUGCCAUCGGAUGUGCCCAGAUGGGAUUAGCUAGUAGGUGGGGUAACG